rnacentral:lncRNA from 1 species
AGACUCCCUUUGCCUACCUCUUCCUCUCUGACCCCAUCCUCGCUUUGAUGCCCGGGACCUGCUACCCAGGUACGUGGGUCUUCUCUGCCGGAUGUGGACAUCUUGGCCUCUCGCCUUGGUGCCUACUCUUGGGAAGCGGGUCCAGACAUCUCUCCUGCAGGAAGAGAGGAAGGGUUAAUUACAGGCGUUGGGGAUAAUUAAAGCCUUUGACCAAGAGGAUGGGAGGAGAGCCUUGGUCCUCUGAGAGCCUGUGAGUGUGCAAGUGCCUGUGAGAAUAAGUGCAUGUGUAUGAGGGUGUGAGAUUUUGUUGAAUGUGCAUUCGUGUGUAUAGACAUGAGAGUGUUGAUGUAUGUAUGACUGUGUGUGAGUGUGUGUAUGGACAUAAGUGUUGUAUGUGACUGGGCAGGGUGGCUCAGGCCUGUAAUUCCAGCACUUUGGGAGGCCGAGGCAGGCAGAUCAUUUGAGGUCAGGAGCUCCAGACAUGCCUGGCCAACAUGGUGAAACCCCGUCUCUACUAAAAAUACAAAAAAAUUAGCUGGGCGUGGUGCCACUCACCUGUAAUCCCAUCUACUAAGGAGGCUAAGGCAGGAGAAUCACUUGAACCCCAGAGGCAGAGAUUGCAGUGAGCCGAGAUUGCGCCACUCACUGCACUCCAGCCUGGGCCAGCAAGACUCUGUCUCAAAAAAAAAAAGAAAAAAGUGUUGGUAUAUGUGUGUAUAAGUGUGUGUGCAUGGGCAUGAGAGGAUUUGGGUAUGAGUGUGUGUCUGUGUGUGUUUUUGUGGAUUGUGUGGAUGUGUCUAGAUGUGUGUAUGAGUGUGCAUGUGGGUGUGAGAGAUUUGUGUAUGAGUGCAUGUGAGUGUGGAUUUGUGUAUGCAUGUAUUUGUGAGUGUGCCAUACUUCACAGUAGAUGUGGAGUCAGCCCAUGAGUUUCUGAACAAGUUAUUUCACUUUUCUGAGCCUCAGUUUGCUCCUGGAAAGAUGUAAAGCCUAUUUAGGAGAGUUACUGUAAAGAUCAAAUAAAGUCAUGCAUGUAAACCACAGGGGCCAGGACUACAGAAAGCACGCAUGAAAUCUCAGCUGUUACUGGGUUACAUGCGGUUCAGCAACAGGAAGCCACAUCCGUGGAGAGCAGGGCAUGUGUUGUGCCCAGGGCUCUGUGGACAGGCACAUGGGGUGUGUGGAUGAGUGUGAGCAUGUGUGUAGUACGUGGUUUGGAUAAGUGUUUUGCAUGUUGUAUUGGAGCCUCUGGGCUAGGGACACUGGCGUGUGUAAGACUCCAUGUGAGUUGUGUGGAAGCCACUGCUUGUACAUGUGUGUUACAUGCCACUUGCAGGCUCCAUCUGUCAGAUGUGUCACUAGAGGACACACUGCAGGAGGACAGGGAUGUUUGUAGAAAACAGACAGUGCCUGGGCCAGGCGCGGUGGCUCACGCCUGUAAUCCCAGCACUUUGGGAGGCCGAGGCAGAUAGAUCACUUGAGGUCAGGAGUUUGAGACCAAGCUUGUCAUCAUGGUGAAACCCCGUCUCUACUAAAAAUACAAAAAUUAGCCGGGCGUGGUGGCGCAUGCCCGUAAUCCCAGCUGCUCGAG